UCAGCGCAGCGCGCACCGCCGCCGCGCGGGUUUAUUGUUUACUCCACUGUGUGUUUUAUUAUUUUUUUAUUGGCUGGUUUGUUUGUUUGUUUGUGUAUUUGUAGGAGAGAGUCUCGCGCGGACGCCGCUGGACUUUGUGGUUUCGGUCCCCGCGUGCAGCAUGAACGACGUCCCACGUCAGAGGGUCCAACUGAGGUCACUCCAUCUUCAUCCGGGGCUCUUCUGUGGGGACCCAUGUCACUGUAGGGUCAAAGUGCUUACAGUGCAGGUAGUUCUGUGCAUUGUCUACUGCAGUGGAGGCACUUCAAGCUCUACACUGACGCGCAGUCACCCGUGAGCACGGAGCCGCGGCGGCGUGAGCUGGACGACUGCUUAUGCUAAGGUGCAUCUAGUGCAGAUAGUGGAAUAGACUAGCACCUACUGCCCUAAGUGCCCCUUCUGGCAUAAGGGGCUGGGAUGUCUGCCUGCUGUGAUUGGCUGUGUCCCCUUAACCCCCUCCCCUGUACACACUCUCUCUGCUGUGAUUGGCUGUGACCCCACCCCUCCUCCCUCUCUCUUUUAAUGCAGUUCUCUGCUAGUUUUGCAUAGUUGCACUACAAGAAAAAUUGAGUUGUGCAAAUCUAUGCAAAACUGAUGGUGGCCUGCUUUCCCCGUCAUUUCCUUUGUUUGGCUCAGAUGGUUGCUGGCCGUAGCGCUGUGUGCGUGUCUCCGUCUGUCUGUCCGUCCGUCUUGUUUCCAGGAGAUCGCCCCCCCCCCUUCCUCCUCAUCCUCCUCCUGCAGCCACUUGUUGGUCCCAGCAGUAUUAAAGUGCUUAUAGUGCAGGUAGUUUACUGUAACGCUUCUACUGCAGUGUGAGCACUUGAAGUACUUCUAGACGCGUGCAUCGUGGUGGACGCUGCGGUCGCUGGCCGGACGCUGAUUGUCAUCACUGGUCUGGUCAGUUUUGCUGGUUUGCAUUCAGCGUUCCCCCUGUUGCUGUGCAAAUCCAUGCAAAACUGACUGUAGCGGUGAACGAGCUCGAUAGCGGCUUCGUGUCGACUCGCCCCUUUCUUUGCAGGUUGGGAUCGGUAGCAAUGUUCUGUUCUGCUGGAGUAUUGCACUUGUCCCGGCCUGUUAAGGGUAUGGGGAAUGUCCCGGCUGACUUCACGGGGUUGUUGAUGCCAUCUUUUCCCCCCUCCCCCAAAUAUUUUAAGACUGUUUUAAUCGGACUCUGUAAUAAAGUCUUUUGCAUGGACCUUUGCUUCUCUGUCUUUGCUUGCAGAUUCACCGCUGAUUUAAAACGGCAUUCAGGAUCAGCAGAAGUGGCACCAGCAGUCACAGUGUACACACUUAAAAAAGAUGGUUCUCCAAGGGUUCUUUGGUAAAGAAAACUGUUCUAUGUAGAACAACGAACUGAGAACCCUUGGCAUCGUAAAAGGGUUUAUUAGAUUGCUGUAAAUGGUUUUAUAUAGAACCUUUUUGAAAAGGGUUCUUCUGUUACAAGCUUGACAUCUUAACAAUAGCAGAACGCUUUUUGGUGCUACGUAGAACCUUUUCCAGAAAGAUUCUGUAUUGGACCAUCUGCAGCAUGUUCUCAAAUCAAUCUGCAUAACACUUUCACCAUGCAAAGGGUCCUUUGACUGUUCUUGGUUCAAUAUAGAACUUUUUCUUUUUUUUUUUUUAAAUGAAGAACUGUCUAUUUUUAAGAGUGUAGACCAAACAUGCAUGGCCUAUCUCUCUUUGGAAGGACUGUGCCUGGGUAGUUCUCUGAGCUGGUGUUCAGGUCUUGGAGGACUUCAGUUCAGCACAGUUUUGGUGGUUUACCUACUCAAAAACCUGGUAACUAACUCCCGAGUUUGAAUCAGGUGUGUUUUGAGCAGGUAGAUUACCAAACUCUGCUUGACCGGAACCUCCUUGAACAGCUUUUCAGCGAAGGGUCGGUGUGGCUGCAUUCCCUCCAAGCAGGAGCUCAUCUGCUUCCACUUUUUUAAACAGUUCAUCUCCGUCUUCAAACGAUUGAUCAGAUGUGCUUUUGCUUGAUUGGAAAGGGAAACUGCAACCACACCGGCCCUUUCUGGAGAAGACUGGACACCCCUGAUGUUGAAUAACUGCAACCGAGCAGUACUAUGUAGUGCAGGGGUGUCUGGUUCUGGUUCUGGUUCUGGAGGGCUUCAGUCCAGCUCAGUUUGGUGGUUUUCCUUUUUCAGACACCACUCGGCCAUUAGUUACCAGGUUUUUGAGCAGGUUAACCACCAAGGCCUGGAGGACUUCAGUCCUGAACACCACUGCACUGUCACAGUUAUUCCAGUAGGAGGUUAUAAUACACCUGCUGGAAUGGAAGUAAUAGUCACCAGGUUUGAUUAAUGUUUUUAUUGCUGGACUAAAGCCCUGCAGCUGAUGACCUCUGAGCUGAGUAUAGUCCAGAGUGUCUGUGGGCCUUUAAGUCUUAAUCUGUGUAAAAUUACAUUGUAGGUGCCAAACUUUGAGUUCUGUUUGUUUUCCAAUGGAGGAACUGUUGACAUCUUUACCAGCAUGAUUAUAAAUUUUAUUUCUUUUAAAUGGCUAAAAUAUCUUUUCAGUGGAUUUUAAGCUGCAGUUGUUUAAUUUUUUUUAUUUGCAUUUGAAAAAAACACGAUGCUAAAUCUGCUUUGAUCACUGUUGAACACUGACUGGUUACUGAUGUAUUUGAUGGAAAAUAAAUAAUGAUGCAGAA